UACGAAGGGGGCUAGCGUUGUUCGGAAUCACUGGGCGUAAAGCGCACGUAGGCGGAUUGUUAAGUCAGGGGUGAAAUCCUGGAGCUCAACUCCAGAACUGCCUUUGAUACUGGCGAUCUUGAGUCCGGGAGAGGUGAGUGGAACUGCGAGUGUAGAGGUGAAAUUCGUAGAUAUUCGGAAGAACACCAGUGGCGAAGGCGGCUCACUGGCCCGGUACUGACGCUGAGGUGCGAAAGCGUGGGGAGCAAACAGG
rnacentral:rRNA from 1 species